GGGAUAGUGGGAAUCCAUGGAU
rnacentral:siRNA from 1 species